rnacentral:rRNA from 1 species
GACGAACGCUGGCGGCGUGCUUAACACAUGCAAGUCGAGCGGUAAGGCCCUUUCGGGGGUACACGAGCGGCGAACGGGUGAGUAACACGUGGGUGACCUGCCCUCAGCUCUGGGAUAAAGCCUGGGAAACCGGGUCUAAUACUGGAUACUGACUCCAUGACGCAUGUUGUGGGGUGGAAAGCCUUGUGCGGCUGAGGAUGGGCCCG